UAGCUCAGAAAACAUGUGUCUUUAUAAACCUGAAUAUAUACUUAAUAAACACAGAGCUAUUUGGAACAUAGCAACAUAGCAAACAGCUGGAUUGUCAGAUUGCUCAUGUGGGAAUGCCUCCUGUAACAGCUGUAUUACUCUGGAAUGCAGGACUGCUGUUUGUCUUCUGGAGUUUACAUCUGCAGACCAGAAAAAUAUCACAGCUAAUUCUGGACAGGAUGUCACUCUGACAUGUCAAGCUCCAGAUAACAACAUCAUCAUGAUCAUAGAGUGGAGCAGAACUGACCUGGGCCCUGUUUCAGAAAGCCGGUUUAGUGCAAACUCUGAGGCCCUGAAGCCAGAAUAUGUUUUUGUGUAUCGGAAUAAGAUGCCCGAUCUGGAAAACCAGCAUCCAUCUUUUAAAAACCGAGUGGAUCUGCGGGACAGACAGAUGAAGGAUGGAGACGUGUCUCUGAUUCUGAACAAUGUGACGAUUAAUGACACUGGAACAUACCAAUGCCAUGUCUUUACAGUAAAAACUCAAAGGAAGAGAGAAAAUCACAGUGUUGUCCCCAUCAGCAUCAUCUACCUUCAUGUUGUUCCUCCAGGUCAGACACACACAGAGGAUGGAUCUGUUGGACUGAAAGUUGAUCACUUUCUGCUUUAGUUCUGGUUGCUGCUGCUGGUUUUGUGAUCUACAGAAAACUUAAUUCUCAUCAGAGACAGGAUUCAGAGCAGUCUGCUGCCGGCAACAAGUUUGAAAUUCUGCCAUUCCAAGCUUGAUGUUUUUACUCAGCAUGGCUCAAGACAUUAUCUGACAACGUACAGAAAUAAUAAAUGUCACUUCAUAUCGUUACCAUAAAACAUUUCUAGAAUUUGAGAAGCUGACCAACAGGUGGCUGAAACAGCCACAAAACCAGAGUAUAAUUGCAGCAUCAUCCACUGCCAUGGGCUCUAAAGAUGUUGGAGCUUUGAGUUGCUGAUAAACAGGUUCCCAGCGGUGAAAACCAAAAACUAUUUCCUGUUUGUUCCCAUGCUGCGUAAAAAAUUUAAAUCAGAUCAACAGACUAUGUGGUGCUGAAUGUGGCAUUUCUCUUUUCCUAAACUCAGAGGGUUCCAAGCUGUUUGACAUGACUGGUGUGUUGGUGGAUCCGAGGAUGUGAACUCUUAUACAUGAACACGUUACCUCAAACAGUCCAAUGUAGUCUCACAGCACUUCAUGAAACAGUCACAACUUCUAAUUGUGGUUCAUGUCCCUGAACACUAAAUUAAUAUUUUCCCCUUUUAAAGUGUAAAAAGUCCACAUCCUGAGGUUGGAGGGGCUGAAACUGCCGGGUUGGAUGGAGAUGCCAGUUGGCAUUCUUUCAAAGUCAGUUUUAAAAAAAGAGUAUUUAUUCUCACUAAAGAGUUUGACAAAAAGAUGUGCUACACUCAUGAAAUACACGAUUAUGAAGUCAUGUUGGCUGUGAUGAAGUGAACAUUUGUGUCACUGAACACAAACACUGUUUUGUGACUGUUUCAUAUUUCCUAUGAGACUGGGCUGACUGUGUUUACACCACAGCACUGUUUAGUGCUAAAGGCAGGAUUCAGUUUAAGCUUUAAAUCUGUGCCCUGACUAUUAUCUCUGAAGUGUUUUUAUACAGUGAACAAAGCUUUAUAUUUUCUAAGCUGAUGAUUUAUUUUGUACAUAAUAACUGAAUUUAAUGUAACACUGGCAUCAAAUGACUCUUUCUGACUUUAGUUAACUAUUUAUUUAUUUCACUACAAAAGCACCAGCUAAUGUUUGUUAUUUUGUGUCAGUGUUGUGCUGCCAACUCCAAGUCCAAAGGGUCUGAUGAAAACGAUAAUUUUAAAAUUUAUAUUUGAGUAAUUUGUUUGUCACCUCUCCUCCAAACUGCACUUGACCUGAUUCAAAGAACAGCCAAAACAGUCCAGUUCAGUUUCAUGGAGGAAGGUGCCAAAUGUAGUAGGAAGUAGAAGUUUGUCUGAUUUUCUUUUUUUUUUAAUUAUGUGUUGAUUUCAUUUACAGAGCAGGUUCUCUUAAAUAUUAUUUUCUCUGUUAACUUAUUUCCGUUGUCUUUGAAUGAUACACUUAUCACCUCAUCCACUGUGUGUCUUUUAUCACAUCUUCAUCACCUCAUCUCCAGCUGGUCAUGGCAGAUGGCCCCGCCCCUCCCUGAGCCUGGUUCUGCUGGAGGUUUCUUCCUGUUAUGUGUUUCCUUCCCACUGUCCCCAAGUGCUUGCUGAUAAGGGGCCUGUUCUUCGUACCUCGCUUACUACAUCCAAGAUCAAAUGACACAUCCAAGAUCAAAUCAUCGCGCUAACCGUGAGCUCGCUAAUCCGGUUCUCCGAACGCACCUGUUGUUGACGAUUAGUACAGCUGGAUGAAGUAAUCUGAGAUCACUGGGUGGCUUAAAAGGGGCUACGCAUCGAUAGUAGAAACAUUGAUCGGCAACCCUGUGAUUGGUCGGCGAAGAUGGCGAAGGAGCGCGCUCAGUAUUUCACGCCAGCAGAGCAAGAACUCUUGAUUGAGGGAUAUCAGGAGUUCCAGAGUCUAAUUAAAACGCAGGGGAACACUGCAAAGGCUGCAAAAGCAAGGAGAGAUGGCUGGCAGAAAGUUGCUGACAAAUUAAACUCGUAAGUGAUCCAUGAUAUUACAUUAUAUCAUGUGAUAUUAUAUUAUACCACAUUAUAUUAUAUUACAUCAUAUCCUCUUUCACAUUAGAGCCACAACAGGACCCACUAGAACAUGGGAAAAAGUAAAAGUGAAAUAUAAGAAUAUUCUACAGAAUGGUAAUAUGUAUCACUUAUAUUGCUUUUAGUCUAUGACAAGAGACCCUGGAAUAAUCUGUUUGUUUGUUUAUAACAGCAACCAAGAAAAGGGCAGAGCAAAUAAAGACAGGUGGUGGUCCUGCACCCC
ensembl:lncRNA